AUUGAACGCUGGCGGCAUGCUUUACACAUGCAAGUCGAACGGCAGCAUGGAAGAUGCUUGCAUCUUCUGAUGGCGAGUGGCGAACGGGUGAGUAACACAUCGGAACGUACCGUUUAGUGGGGGACAACUUCAAGAAAUUGAAGCUAAUACCGCAUACGAACUACGGUUGGAAGCAGGGGACCUUCGGGCCUUGUGCUAAACGAGCGGCCGAUGGAAGAUUAGCUAGUUGGUGGGGUAAAGGCUCACCAAGGCGACGAUCGUUAGCGGGUCUGAGAGGACGGUCCGCCACACUGGAACUGAGACACGGUCCAGACUCCUACGGGAGGCAGCAGUGGGGAAUUUUGGACAAUGGGGGCAACCCUGAUCCAGCAAUGCCGCGUGAGUGAAGAAGGCCUUCGGGUUGUAAAGCUCUUUUGUCAGGGAAGAAAUCCUUAGUACUAAUAAUGCUGGGGGAUGACGGUACCUGAAGAAUAAGCACCGGCUAACUACGUGCCAGCCGCCGCAGUAAAAC
rnacentral:rRNA from 1 species